AGUGAACGCUGGCGGUAGGCCUAACACAUGCAAGUCGAACGGCAGCACAGUAAGAGCUUGCUCUUACGGGUGGCGAGUGGCGGACGGGUGAGGAAUACAUCGGAAUCUACUUUUUCGUGGGGGAUAACGUAGGGAAACUUACGCUAAUACCGCAUACGACCUACGGGUGAAAGCAGGGGAUCUUCGGACCUUGCGCGAUUGAAUGAGCCGAUGUCGGAUUAGCUAGUUGGCGGGGUAAAGGCCCACCAAGGCGACGAUCCGUAGCUGGUCUGAGAGGAUGAUCAGCCACCCUGGAAAUGAGACACGGUCCAGACUCCUACGGGAGGCAGCAGUGGGGAAUAUUGGACAAUGGGCGCAAGCCUGAUCCAGCCAUACCACGUGGGUGAAGAAGGCCUUCGGGUUGUAAAGCCCUUUUGUUGGGAAAGAAAAGCAGCAGGUUAAUACCCCGCUGUUCUGACGGUACCCAAAGAAUAAGCACCGGCUAACUUCGUG
rnacentral:rRNA from 1 species